rnacentral:rRNA from 1 species
UGAAAAGUAGGUGGCAGGAGCCGGGGGAGAACGUAGGGGGGAAGGGGUGGCGGGGAACACUGGGCGGAAAGGGCGCGUCGGUGGUUUAUCACGUCCGGGGUGAAAACCCAGGGGUCAACUCGGGGACUGCCGGGGGUACGGUGAAACUUGAGGAGCGGAGAGGCAAGGGGAAUUCGACGGGUAGCGGUGAAAUGCGUAGAGAUGUGGAGGAACACCUGUGGCGAAGGCGCCUUGCUGGCCGAUUUCUGACGCUGAGGCGCGAAAGCGUGGGGAGCAAACAGGAUUAGAUACCCCGGUAGUC